CCACUAGACUUCAAUAUUUAUUCAUUUCCUUUCUUCCAUACUUUUACUUUCCUUUUCUCCUUCACGUUUUUCUUCCCCUGGCAGCAACAAACCGACGCACACCACCUUCUUUUCCUCUUUCUUUCUCAUUUUCUUUCUUCUUCUACAGAUCACAUUUUUCUUCUUCUUCUUUUCCACUCCUUUUAUUCUUCUUUUUCUUCUUCCUUCAUGAAACAAUAACCACCAUGCUAAUUUCUUCUCCUCACAUUCCAGCACCCAAAACGCACAUAAUGGUCCCUCUUCCCUCCCUCACGUGAUUUCUCUCUUGUGCAGCACCAUGUCUUCAUCUUCCUAUUCUAUGGGUACGAAGGACGGAAGCGCUUGACGACGAAGCCAAAGAACAAACGGAGGUGAGCCAACACGGGAAAGCAAAGAUAUGAUUGGAUUUGAUUUGAGUCGCAACUUAGCAAGGAAAGCGCCUAAGACAUCGACGGUGGAUUGGGUUUCGAUGGUCUCUCCCUCGGGGGGGGGGGGGAUCAGGUUUGAGCUGGUUGAUCGAUGUAACACCCCAAUUUCUC